GUUUUCUCCUUCCUCACUUCCUUCUUUCCUUCCUUCUUUCCUUCCUUCCUUCCUUCCUUCUUUCCUUCCUUCCUUCCUUCUUUCCUUCCUUCCUUCCUUCCUUCCUUCCUUCCUUCCUUCUUUCCUUCCUUCCUUCCUUCCUUCUUUCCUUCCUUCCUUCUUUCCUUCCUUCCUUCCUUCCUUCCUUCUUCCUUCCUUCCUUCCUUCCUCCCUCCC
rnacentral:lncRNA from 1 species